rnacentral:rRNA from 1 species
AACCGCGGUUAAACGAAUGACCCAAGUUGAUAGCACAACGGCGUAAAGGGUGGUUAAGGAAAAUAAUAAUAAAGUUAAAUGACCCAUCGGCCGUUAUACGCUUUCUAGGAGUCCGAAGCCCACAUACGAAAGUUACUUUAAUUUAAUUACCCGACCCCACGAAAGCUGAGAAA